GUAGGGGGCGAGCGUUGUCCGGAUUUAUUGGGCGUAAAGAGCUCGUAGGCGGCUUGGCAAGUCGGUCGUGAAAUCCCGAGGCUCAACCUCGGAUCGUCGGUCGAAACUGCCAUGGCUAGGGUCCGGUAGAGGAGAGUGGAAUUCCCGGUGUAGCGGUGAAAUGCGCAGAUAUCGGGAGGAACACCAGUAGCGAAGGCGGCUCUCUGGGCCGGUACCGACGCUGAGGAGCGAAAGCGUGGGGAGCAAACAGGAUUAGAUACCCUGGUAGUCCACGCCGUAAACGUUGGGUACUAGGUGUGGCGAGUCGUACCCAACACUUGCCGUGCCGCAGCUAACGCAUUAAGUACCCCGCCUGGGGAGUACGGUCGCAAGGCUA
rnacentral:rRNA from 1 species